GUGGGGAAUCUUGCGCAAUGGCCGAAAGGCUGACGCAGCGACGCCGCGUGUGGGAGGAAGCCCUUCGGGGUGUAAACCACUGUUGCCCGGGACGAACGGCGGGGAAUGCCCCGCGUGACGGUACCGGGUGAGGAAGCACCGGCUAACUCCGUGCCAGCAGCCGCGGUAAUACGGAGGGUGCGAGCGUUGUCCGGAAUCACUGGGCGUAAAGGGCGCGUAGGCGGCUUCUCAAGCGUGUGGUGAAAGUCCGGGGCUCAACCCCGGAUCGGCCGUGCGGACUGGGGAGCUCGAGUUCUGUAGAGGCGGGUGGAAUUCCGGGUGUAGCGGUGGAAUGCGUAGAGAUCCGGAAGAACACCGGUGGCGAAGGCGGCCCGCUGGGCAGAGACUGACGCUGAGGCGCGACAGCGUGGGGAGCAAACAGG
rnacentral:rRNA from 1 species